GGGCCCGCACAAGCGGUGGAGUAUGUGGUUUAAUUCGAUGCAACGCGAAGAACCUUACCAGGGUUUGACAUCCUGCGAAUCUCUUGGAAACAGGAGAGUGCCUUCGGGAACGCAGUGACAGGUGGUGCAUGGCUGUCGUCAGCUCGUGUCGUGAGAUGUUGGGUUAAGUCCCGCAACGAGCGCAACCCACGUCUUUAGUUGCCAGCAUUUAGUUGGGCACUCUAGAGAGACUGCCCGUGAUAAGCGGGAGGAAGGUGUGGAUGACGUCAAGUCCUCAUGGCCCUUACGGGUUGGGCUACACACGUGCUACAAUGGUAGUGACAAUGGGUUAAUCCCAAAAAGCUAUCUCAGUUCGGAUUGGGGUCUGCAACUCGACCCAUGAAGUCGGAAUCGCUAGUAAUCGC
rnacentral:rRNA from 1 species